UACGUAGGUGGCAAGCGUUGUCCGGAUUUACUGGGCGUAAAGAGCGCGCAGGCGGUCGUCCAAGUCGCGUGUGAAAGCCCCCGGCUCAACUGGGGAGGGUCACGCGAUACUGGUCGACUCGAAGGCAGGAGAGGGUAGUGGAAUUCCCGGUGUAGUGGUGAAAUGCGUAGAUAUCGUAAGGAAGACCAGUGGCGAAGGCGGGUCUCUGGACAGUUCCUGACGCUGAGGCACGGAGGCCAGGGGAGCAAACGGG
rnacentral:rRNA from 1 species